GCCGUUGUAGCUCAGCCGGAAGAGCGGCGCACUCGUAAUGCGCAGGUCAUGGGUUCGAGUCCCAUCAACGGCU
rnacentral:tRNA from 1 species